UUCGCAAUGCCCGAAAGGGUGACGAAGCGACGCCGCGUGUGGGAAGAAGGCCUUCGGGUUGUAAACCACUGUCGGGAGUUAAGAAAUGCAGGGGUGCUAAUAGUAUUCUUGCUUGACUAAGGCUCCGGAGGAAGCCACGGCUAACUCUGUGCCAGCAGCCGCGGUAAUACAGAGGCGGCAAGCGUUGUUCGGAAUUAUUGGGCGUAAAGAGCACGUAGGCGGCUAUGUAAGUCGGUUGUGAAAGCCUUCCGCUCAACGGAAGAACAGCAUCCGAUACUGCAUGGCUUGAGUGCGGGAGGGGAGAGUGGAACUUCUGGUGGAGCGGUGAAAUGCGUAGAUAUCAGAAGGAACGCCGGCGGCGAAAGCGGCUCUCUGGCCCAUAACUGACGCUGAGUGUGCGAAAGCUAGGGGAGCAAACGGGAUUAGAUACCCCGGUAGUCCUAGCCGUAAACGAUGGGCACUAAGUAGAGGGGUUUU
rnacentral:rRNA from 1 species